CAGCUCUGUGAAGAAUAAAUGAUUUAUGGAGAACACACAAGCAUUCAACAACAGAGAUUUUUCUUCAGGAUACAGUAUGUUGCACAGAGAGAGAUCAAACCCAUCAGAGUCCAGCUGUGUGUCCAUGAAAAGCGACCAGUCUAUGGGCAAGGCAAUAAAAUUUAAGGGAAGACAAACAUCAGCUGAUCUAAGUCUUUUGUACAAAGAGAGAUCUAACCCACCAGAGGCCAGCUGUGUGUCCAUGAAGAGCAACCAGUCUAUGGGCAAGCCAAUACAAUUUAAGGAAAAGCACCCAUCAACUGAUAUGAG